UACGUAGGUGGCAAGCGUUGUCCGGAUUUAUUGGGUUUAAAGGGUGCGUAGGCGGUUCUUUAAGUCAGUUGUGAAAUACGGCAGCUUAACUGUCGAGGUGCAAUUGAUACUGGGGAACUAGAGUACUGAUGAGGUAUGCGGAAUUGACGGUGUAGCGGUGAAAUGCUUAGAUAUCGUCCAGAACACCGAUAGCGAAGGCAGCAUACUAAGGAGUAACUGACGCUGAGGCACGAAAGUGUGGGGAGCAAACAGG
rnacentral:rRNA from 1 species